rnacentral:ncRNA from 1 species
AGGAUAGCUGGAACUUACGGCAGUUUUAUCAGGUAAAGCGAAUGAUUAGAGGUCUUAGGGUUAAAACAACCUUAACCUAUUCUCAAACUUUAAAUUGGUAAGAAGUCCGACUUGCUUAAUUGAAGCCGGACAGUGAAUGCGAGUUCCUAGUGGGCCAUUUUUGGUAAGCAGAACUGGCGAUGCGGGAUGAACCGAACGCGCGGUUAAGGUGCCAAAGUCGACGCUCAUCAGACCCCACAAAAGGUGUUGGUUGCUCUAGACAGCAGGACGGUGGCCAUGGAAGUUGGAAUCCGCUAAGGAGUGUGUAACAACUCACCUGCCGAAGCAACUAGCCCUGAAAAUGGAUGGCGCUCAAGCGUCGCACCUAUACCGUGCCGUCGGAGCAGAUGCGAAGCUCCGACGAGUAGGAGGGCGUGGGGGUCGUGACGCAGCCUCUGGCGCGAGCCUGGGUGAAACGGCCUCCAGUGCAGAUCUUGGUGGUAGUAGCAAAUAUUCAAAUGAGAGCUUUGAAGACCGAAGUGGAGAAAGGUUCCAUGUGAACAGCAGUUGGACAUGGGUUAGUCGAUCCUAAGAGAUAGGGAAAUUCCGUUUGCAAGCGCCCGAUCUUGGGCCGCCUAUCAAAAGUGAAUCGGGUUAAUAUUCCCGAACCGGGACGCGGAUAUUGCCGUUCGCGGCAAAUGCGGUAACGCAAACGAACCCGAAGACGCUGGCGGGGGCCCUGGGAAGAGUUCUCUUUUCUUUUUAACGAGCUUUCACCCUGAAAUCAGCUUGCCUGGAGAUAGGGU